UUGGAUAUUGCUGCCUAAUAAUUUGUCAGCAUACGAAAUCAUCUAUGUAAAUUGAACAUGAUAACUAUCACAUUUUGUACAAAUAACUCAUACUUUUUAAAGGCUUUGUGUCAUAACUAUACUGACAUUUUCAUUAUAAUACGAUGUUUUUCAGGUAAGCAUGAUACAGUUACACGGUCCACUUGACAGUCCCUUGUAACCACACAGCCAGUGGACCAGCCAGUAACGUCGGCCAUUACCAUGGUAGCUAUAACCAGUGGACCAACCAGGUUCGUGGGGCUGGAAAAUUCCUAAGGAAGACCAGUUCAUACAGCUAGCUGUCCAAAAAGAGGAAGACCAGUUCGUGUAUGAGAAUGAUACAGGACCUUGCUCUACAGUCCAAAGGUGAGGCCUUUGGAGAAAAUGCUACCUGAAGGGGAGAUUGAUAGCUCUGAUAUGUUUCUUGUUCAGGAGCUGAAACCACCAACACUUGGUCGUCAUCCUUAAGCAGCCUGUCCUUCAACUCGUCAAGAUGACUAUCGAAUCCAACUAUACCAUUCGGAAGCAAAGGAACACUACAUGACCCGGAGUGAUUCGGAUGUCCACGACUAAGAGUUUUGAUGCACAUUCCAAAAUUUGAUUCUAGAGCACUUGAGAAUGAGCAUCUUCCCUUCCUCCAGCUGAUACAUUUCGUCCAACUACUGCUUUCAGUAGUUCAAGGAAUGCAAGCUCCAAUGCAGUUUGGAUUACUGCAGCCAUAUAUGAAUUAUUACUGGCAGGACAUACAAUGGAAGGAAGCUAGUGAGUUAAAGGGUGAAGUGAUCUAAAUGGUAAAUAUUAGUAGGGAAUUGAAAGUAGCAUUAUAUGAUACUGACAUAAAGCACUUGAUAGGAAAUUUCUUUCGAAUUUUCCAUAGGCAAUCACUUGAUAAUUUACAAAAUGGUCCACUUGAAUAUGCAGUUAAUUCAUUAUUCCACUAGGCAUACAAUUUUUAGUACAUGACAUUAAUAUAUGGGCUUAGCAUAGCUGCCGUCAAACGACAGCAUUUUUUGGGUGCAGCAAGGUAAAAAUCAGGGGGGCUUUGUGUAUGUUUAUAAAAUAAAAGGGUUAGUAUAUAAAAUAAAGUUAAAAUUUUCUUUCUAA